UAAAACAUUUAAAAAAAAAGGGCUCCUCUAGAUCUUUAAAAUUUUCUUUGUUUAGCUGGGAUUUUGUGGUCCUGCUUCUAAGGUGGUAUAAUUUACCCAAUUUGAAACUUUGUUUUUUCUCCAGAGAUGUUUGAAUUACAUUUUCUAGUGUGCAUAGAUUGUUGGCUUAAGAUACAUUUUUCCUUGAAGGGGUUUUCUGUAGAGUGACAUUGUUUAGCUCUUAACUGCUGCACCAAGCAUGAGAGGAACCUACACUCCCCAAAGUCUCAGUUGCCUCCACACUGAGUUGGGGAUGUUGAUAGUGUGUGAUAUGAAUACAACUUAGUGGGGAGGGUGUAAACCAGUCCCUGUUGUUAAAAUAUUACUGGUAUUAUUACCAAUAAAUUUCAGUUUUUUGAAUGGUUUAACUUUAGGUUCUCUGUUUUAUUUUUGUUUGUUUGUUUUAAUCUUAUUUUAACCUGUUCUGCUUUCCAGUGGUUCUUAGAGUUAGUGCAUUUCUCAUUCUGCUCAGUGAAAGAGCUUAAUUCCUUCUCUCCCUCCUCUUACCUUCCCCCCUCUCUUUCAGCUGAGGUUGAAAAUGGAUGGAAAAUUGUCCCUUUCUUAUGUGCAUUAUGGUAAUAAUGUCUAAAGACUAUAUUAAUUUUUAGCAAGUGUGUUCCUGCUGACUGUGUUGCAGAGGUUAUUUUAUUGCUCUCUAUUUGUCUUAACUGUCUUGCCUGAAGUUGGUGGCCUUAUUCCCAGAUUCAUAAUAUGUUCUCUUUACUAUUAAAAUGUACAUUUUGCUUGGGUCUGGCAUACUUCUUUAUAGUUAAUUCUGAGUUAUCUGGCAUGGGGGAAGGGCGCUCUGGAUUGCCUGCUCAUUCUCUGAAUUGAGUUUUAUAUAGGCAUCUCUGUAAAAAAAAAAAAAAUCUCUUCAUUGUUCUUUCCCAUUCAUUUUGGAUUUAUUUGGUGAUUGCACUUGAAAUAGAUUUUUCAUUUGAACACUAUAACUAUCCAUAUAGUUUCUUUUCUUGUUCAUUUUCUACAAGUCGUAUUUAUAUUUUCUCUCUAGUUUAUUAGCACAUCUUUCUAGCACUAGAGAAAAUUAGUGUAAUGAAUAAGACUUAUUCUGGUAUUAUUAACAUACCUACUAACUCAUUGUUUAAGAGAAUUUAUGUACCCUUGAGCUGGUUAAAUAAUUAACCAAAAAGGAAGUUUAGGAAUUGCCUGUGUAGUAUAAAAAGACACUGGAAUACCUAGUGUGAGGUCUAGAAGUUUUUUUUCCCUUUCAUGUUAUAAUCUUUGUCUCUCUUUAGAGCUAUAAAAUGGCUGAAGAGAAAAAUCUUCAUAGUUAAGCCAGGCUGACUUGGAAGUGAGGCACGUGUCUGGCUGGAGCCGUCACUCUUCACUUAGGAGAUAGGAACUCGCUGAUUGGAUUAAUGGUUAGUUGCUUCGGGAAUGAUACUAAAGCUAAGAGUAAUAGGGAGGCAUUCCAUUUGCUGGCUCUCAUGGUUUGUUUUGCAAAAAGGUAGGUCUCUGUUGAGCUGAGAUCCUUAUGGCUACAUUAUUUCUUAACAUCUAAUAAAAAGUUUAAAAAAUUUUUGUAAUAGGUAAUAUAUCUAAAUAGUUCAAAAUUAAAAGGAUGUAAAAGAAUAUAUAGUGAGUAUAUAUAAAGUUCCCUCUCAUUUUUAUUUUCUAGCCAUCCAGUUUCUCUCCUUAUAGUUUAUUUCUCCUUCCAGAAAUAUUUUAUGUAGAUACUGUAAAGUACAUACAUAGAUGCUCAUGUUAAAGAUUACAUGUGUCAGUAUUGAGAGUCAUAUUACUUGAUUGUAAAAUAGGCUUUACUAUGAUAAUUUGCUGACUUCUACUUAUUUUGUUUUUUCCUUGAAAAAUGUUUUCCCAAAUAUUAUAUAGACUCCGCUCUCAUGGCCACUGAGUAUCAUUUCACAUCACUCACUCUCUUUGGCCAAAACCUUCUGCAUUCUCUUUUUUUUACUCCUAAGAAAGCUGUUUCUUGUCUGUCUUUGCUUUCUUCCUUCUUUUUUAGAUAUUUAAUCUGAGGCCUCUGUUCCAGUUCCCUCUACUGUGUCAUCAGCUUAUGGUCCCUUGUUGGCAAUGAAGUCCUCACAUGUCUGGAAUAUAAUCGUUGUGUCUUGUUUCAUGUUUGAAUUGUUUCUUAACGGAGUCAGAUGGAGUAGCCUUAGGUUAGAUGCUUUAUUAUUGAGUGUUCUGUUUAACAUUGAGGUUGCUUCUAUUUAACAAAUAAUUACUAUUAAUGAUAGCACAUCUUAGUGUAUUAUCUACAUAGCCAACAGGCAUUUUCCGUCUUCUUUGAGAUAUUUAUUCCCGAGUGUGAAGUCUCUUUACACUUAAUAAUUUAAUACCUUUUCUCAUCACAGAUGGUUUAAAGUAGUCUUUAUUCACCAUAACUUUGAAGGUUUUGUCAUUUCACUGUAGUCUCUUUUACUUUUGCUUAUCUGACAAUUCUGUGGUCUUUAACUUCCAACCUUGCUUCUUGACCUGAAAACCUUCAUUUGUUCUUUUUCAACUUUGAUGCUUUCUGGUUUUGGAGUCCGAAAGGCAUUAUCUCUACAGAUUUAAAAUUUGUCUAUAACCACUAUAAAAGAUGUAAGAUACCCCCAAUGAACCCUGUCUAAUAAGUCCUUUUUGGUGGCUUAUAGGAGUUUCUGCUUACUAAUACUGGAUUUUUAACUUUAGCUAUGCACAAAGAGUUUUUACUUUUAGUUUAGGGAACGUUGAACAUCACCCAAA